AGCGAACGCUGGCGGCAGGCCUAACACAUGCAAGUCGAACGAAGUCUUCGGACUUAGUGGCGGACGGGUGAGUAACACGUGGGAACGUGCCUUUAGGUCCGGAAUAACUCAGGGAAACUUGUGCUAAUACCGAAUGUGCCCUUCGGGGGAAAGAUUUAUCGCCUUUAGAGCGGCCCGCGUCUGAUUAGCUAGUUGGUGAGGUAAAGGCUCACCAAGGCGACGAUCAGUAGCUGGUCUGAGAGGAUGAUCAGCCACAUUGGGACUGAAACACGGCCCAAACUCCUACGGGAGGCAGCAGUGGGGAAUCUUGCGCAAUGGGCGAAAGCCUGACGCAGCCAUGCCGCGUGAAUGAUGAAGGUCUUAGGAUUGUAAAAUUCUUUCACCGGGGACGAUAAUGACGGUACCCGGAGAAGAAGCCCCGGCUAACUUCGUGCCAGCCGCCGCAGUAA
rnacentral:rRNA from 1 species